rnacentral:lncRNA from 1 species
CUUUUAUUUAUAGUGAGCUUUAUUUAUAUCAUAAAUACUAAGAAAUAGUAUUUUCCACCAGGGAUAUUCACAGGUAUAGCAUUAGCCAAGUAAACGUGUCAUUAGUUGUUGUAAUGUGCUCAACCUUUUUCAAAGUAUUAUGAAACAUUUCUGUUAAAAAAUUUGAAUUCUGAUGUCUAAGCAAAUACCAUUCUCAAUACACAAAUUGUCAACUGAAAGCACCCUCUGUAAAGAGAUUCAGAAGUAAUCAAUAUACGGUUUCUAAAUUAAAUUUUUGUUCCUGUCAUUAUCACUCAGUACAAUCAAAAUUAGGGAGUAUCUACUAUAUUCUCGAAUUUUAACAAAAUGGGACAAUAUGAAAUAACAUAUCUAUUCAUAGAUGUAUACAUUGCUAUAUAGCUUACAUAAAAGCAUGGGAAAACAUUUGGUGUGUGUGCGCACAGACCAGAUAUAAGUACCAUAGUUAAAUCCACGUAAAUUUUCUCUUAAAAUCUAUAUUCAAGUGCACCAAUACUAUAGUUAAAAUUACAUAAAUGGAAUAGAUACCAUCAAUGUUAGGUCAUUAUGUGUCCAGAAUUGGUGGGUUCUUGGUCUCACUGACUUCAAGAAUGAAGCUGCAGACCCUUGCGGUGAGUGUUACAGUUCUUAAAGGUGGUGUAUCCAGAGUUUGUUCCCACUUCUGAUGUUCAGACGUGUUUGGAGUUUCUUCCUUCUGAUGGAUUCGUGGUCUCACUGGCUUCAGGAGUGAAGCUGCAGACCUUCACAGUGAAUGUUACAACUGUUAAGGGGGCACGUCCAGAGUUGUUCAUCCCUCCCGCUGAGUUCGUGGUCUUGCUGGCCUCAGGAGUGAAGCUGCAGACCUUCCUGGGGAGUGUUACAGCUCAUAAAGUAAGUGUGGAUCCAAACAGUGAGCAGCAACAAGACUUACCGCAAACAGCAAAAGAACAAAACUUCCACAGCUGUAAGGGGACCGAGGUGGGUUACCACUGCUGGCUUGGGUAGCCUGCUUUUAUUCUUAUCUGACCCCACCCAC